UUUCUAAGGCGACCUUGAACUUGAGAUCCUCCUGGUGGCUUCCCCACCAAAUGGUAUUAUAGGUGUGUGCCACUGCGCCCUCCUGAGAUUUGCUUUUUGUGUGAUCCUGGACGGAGUCUAAAAGACCUUGCUGCUCUCACCACCAGGGUGAUGUACCCUCCCAAGCAAAAGUUCCUGGUGACUGUGACACAGUGCUUGUGAUAUCCCCGAGGAUUUAGGAGCCCUGGGUUUCCUCACCAGCACUUGGAAAAAAAAAAAAAAAAAAAACUGAACUGAAACAUUCUAGAAUGUUCUGUCCCAUUUUGGAAUGACUUUUAUUAGAAGCAAGAAAGAAAUGGAAGAUUCUCAAGUCUCUUGAGCUCCAAAAGCCGCAGUGCAGAAUCCUGACUCACCCUCCAGCCAGCCGCAGACAAGGCGGAUUAUUCCGGGGAGGUGUGUGCAGAGCCAGAGCCCGUGUGGCUUCAGGUAACCGGCUUUUCUUGCGCCUUCUCAUCUGCUCAGCUGGGGCUGCUGACCUCCCUGGACGGAAGCGGAAGCCAGGCUCUGCGGUCCUGGCCACCAAGCUGCGGAUUGUUCGCGCGGGCACGGCCCUGCCGUCCUACGCCGCCGGGCGGAGGGUCCCUCUGAUCCGCCCUGAGAGCCCGCCGGGCGCACGCUCGCUGAACCCACACCGGGAAAUCUGACCCUCAAGAAUUACUUUACAAAACACCGAGACCAACAUGACCUUGGAUCUUGCUAAAUUGAGUGGAUUAGCCAAGAAUCUGUGAUCUUCCAGCCUCAGCCUUCCAAGUUGCAGGAAUUAAAGACAGGAUCUGGGUACGCCAUUCAGACUGAACUUGGGCUCAACUGAUCUGCCUUCCUCAGACUCUGGAGUAGCUGAAUUCCAGCUCUGUAGCUCUGAUUGUUUUUUGUUUUGUUUUUAGGGGGGAGUGGUAUUUGGAAAGUUUUUGUACUUUGUUCUCACUCUCACUAUGAACUUCAGACUGCUCAACAACCAUUUAGAUGUUUGCAUGGCUCUGUGACAGUACUAGACACUUUAAAAGGGUGACUUUUGGCCCCUGGUGCACACCUGUACUCCCAGUGGCUCCGGAGGCUGAGGCAGGCGGAUCGUAAGUUGGAGGCCAGCCUCAGCCACUGAGUAAGGCCCUCAGCAACUCAGCGAGACCCUGUCUCUAAAUAAAAUAUAAAAAGGACUGGGGUGUGGCUCAGUGGUUAGCACCCCUGAGUUCAAUCCCUGGGACCAAAAAACAAAAACUAAAAACCAUUCACUGAAUUCCUGGUCCCUAGGGACUACAGUAAGGCUCUGGCAACUUACUGGACAGUUCAUUCAGCAUGGAUUGAGAAGCUCUGUGUGCGAGGCCUGCCUGGGGUGCUGGGGACAGCAGUGGUAGCUACAGGUUCCUGCUCUCCUGGACUUUGGAAGUGUGUCCAGAGCUUGCACCAGACCAAAUACAAGGGGGACACGGAAGACCAUGGAAAACCAAGGUUGGACAGGAAAAUGUCCUCGCUCCCAGAGAUGAAGAACCAAGCUUGUGUUCUAGCAGAACGUUGAAGUGCCAGCAUCACGGGCCCUUCACGGUCAUGAGAAGACAGAGCAAAGACUGCUGAACCCACAAAUGACAAGGAUUAACCGUGUUAGCAGAGGGACCUAAGUUCAGGGGAAGGGUAAGAGUCUACAUGACUCUCAUUGGUCUGUUUAUGCCUCCUGCUCACCCCAACCUCUUCCCCAGACACACAGGGAAUUUCUUUCUUUCUUUCUUUCUUUCUUUCUUUUUUUUUUUUUUUUUUUGGUACCAGGGAACUAAGGUGCUGAGGCUAGCCUCCACCUUGCGAUUCUCCUGCCUCAGCCUCCCGUUCACUGGGAUGACAGGCAUACACCAUUGCACUUGGGCUUGACUACUCUUCCUGUAAGUGAAAUCAUGCCGUAUUUUUCCUGUGGUAGGUUUAUUCACUUAGCAUAGUAGCCUCAUGGUGUGAUGGGCUGACAGAUCUGGCUCCAUGAGAAUGUUCUGGGCCAGACUCUAAGGGAAAUGACUAAACAGACUCCAUUUUGCUUCAAGACUCCAUGUU